rnacentral:tRNA from 1 species
GGUUCCAUGGUGUAGUGGUUAUCACAUCUGCUUAACACGCAGAAGGGCGUGAGUUCAAAACUCACUGGAACCU